GUCCCUGUAGCGCAAUGGAUAGUGCGUUGGAUUUCCAAUUUAAAGGUUGUGGGUUCGAAACCCACCUGGGAUG